UAACAAGGUUUCCGUAGGUGAACCUGCGGAAGGAUCAUUACCGAGUUCUCGGGCUUCGGCUCGAAUCUCCCACCCUUUGUGAACAUACCUCUGUUGCUUUGGCGGCUCUUUGCCGCGAGGAGGCCCUCGCGGGCCCCCCCGCGCGCUUUCUGCCAGAGGACCUUCAAACUCCAGUCAGUAAACGUCGACGUCUGAUAAACAAGUUAAUAAACUAAAACUUUCAACAACGGAUCUCUUGGUUCUGGCAUCGAUGAAGAACGCAGCGAAAUGCGAUAAGUAAUGUGAAUUGCAGAAUUCAGUGAAUCAUCGAAUCUUUGAACGCACAUUGCGCCCCCUGGCAUUCCGGGGGGCAUGCCUGUUCGAGCGUCAUUACAACCCUCAAGCUCUGCUUGGUAUUGGGCGCCGUCCUCUCUGCGGACGCGCCUUAAAGACCUCGGCGGUGGCUGUUCAGCCCUCAAGCGUAGUAGAAUACACCUCGCUUUGGAGCGGUUGGCGUCGCCCGCCGGACGAACCUUCUGAACUUUUCUCAAGGUUGACCUCGGAUCAGGUAGGGAUACCCGCUGAACUUAAGCAUAU
rnacentral:rRNA from 1 species